AUGGAUCAGGACAACGCUAGCCCGCACCCUUCCGCCCUCCCGGAAUCCCCGAGUCGUGCCUCUCCGGGUAGCGCCUUACUGCUGGGUCUGAAGAGGGUGUCUGUGCGGCUGGUCGACUGCAGGAAAACAACGGGGCUGAAUGGAACUACGAGACGAGGAGACAAAGAGGAAGAUUUAACUGAUCAAAGUAAAAGCCUGCUGGGUAUGAAGAGGGUGUCUGUGCGGCUGGUCGACUGCAGGAAAACAACGGGACUGAGUGGAACUAUGAGACGAGGAGGAGAAGAAGAAGAUGAUGAGUGAGAUUUGACUGAUCAAAAUAAGUAGGAGGGUUAUGUAGGAGCAGAAUGUGUUUACUUUGGACUUCAACCUACACAUUAAUAAUAUGAAGAAGCAGCUGCUAUCCUAGGAGCAUGAAAAACGACUCAUCUCCUGGUGGCACACACAACAUUUAAAAUAAAAUGUUUUUAUAAUAAAUAUUCUGCAUUCUAGCAUUUAAACAAAAUACAAAUAUUCUGACCAUUAUGAAUAACUUCAUUGUGUCGUAGAUCUUAAAUAAUCCUUAAAAGUGAUUAGGAAGUGGAAUCUGGUCCAGUGGUGAGAAUCCUCAUUCAACAUAAACGUGAUUAGGAAGUGGAAUCUGGUCCAACAGGUCUUACAGGAAGUACAGGUCGUAAAAACAUUGUCUUGAGGCACCAUGACACGUCAAGACACAAUAAAACUAUAUUUAGGGAAUUAUCUUCAAGACAUUUUCUAGGCCAACUUUUCUGGACCUCUCUUCCCGACAGCUAAAGGGAUUCUUUACUUUACGCUCAGUCUCUGCUCUACUCAUUUGGCUAAUCAGAGAACAGGCUACAGGGGGGGGGGGGG
rnacentral:lncRNA from 13 species